UUUUUUUUUUUUUUUGGAGAACAGAAUUUUAUAUUUUUUCACCAAUAAUAACAUAUCACAUAUGAGGCAGUU